AAUUCCUCUUCCACACAGAGUAAAUUGGAUCCUGGUCUGAAUGCAGGAACGACAACAAUUUUUGCAUGGGGUUGAAUCAAGUCGAACAGUACAGUUUCCAAAAGAUCAUCUACAGAAUUUGUAAAGCAUGUCAAAGCAGACACUGUCCAGAAUUAAUGGAACGGUCCUAAUGGAACCAGUGAAAGACGGACACGUUGACGUAGCAAACAAUAUAAGCGAACGUGAAGUGGCCAUGAUAUUGAUUGCCUGCAGCUUGAGAAGCAAAGAGAAGCUGCAGGAACAGCUGACUCCUUUUGAGGCAUGCUGGUCACUUAGAGAAUUUUGGUCCCAAACACCACCUGUCACCAUGAACAUCCUGCCCAUUGUUUUCGUAACUCUCUUCAUGUCCCUUCUCAUUGAACCAGGUUUCAUGUUGGUUAUACGCUAUCCGGAUCAAUGCAAACAGAGCAAAGGGAAGUGUCGAAACAAAUGUCAGCCAAACGAGAAAGUCAUUGGGAAGUGCAGUGAUUCUGCAUACUGUUGCCUAGUUCGGUAAGCCAAAUCUUUUUUUUUUUUUACAUAUGUAGAGUUGGAUCCAGAUGUAGUCACCUUUAGAGAGGUAGAUACACAUACACCCAAAUUCAACAGGCUUUGUGUAAUCAUCUCCCUCUGUGAGGAAGAGGUUGACAGAGAUGCCUCCAGCAGGCUGUCUAGCUAAGGACUGUACAAGGCAGACCCAGGCAGGGUCAGAACCACCAUCCAAGCAGAUCCCGGCCAUUUCCCCAGACUCCCGAGACUUCACAACACAAACAGAGGCCAUUCCUGCCAAUGUAGGAGAUAGAGACCAGGCAGUUAUACUGGGCCAGCUAGCAGCAGAGUGGAGGAGAAGCCAACCUCAGGAGGAAGCUGGAGACCAGGAAGGCUAUAAAAGCUGUGCCGGAUGAGGUGGAAGAAUGUCCUGAAGGAAGGAAGGGUAGAGUCUCUCGAUGUAAUAAUAGAUGAGGAAGAGGAUGUAGCAGAGGUGGGACGUAUAAUGUACAGAAAAUGGAGAUGUUAUGACUGACUGAAAAAUAUCUUCCAGAAAACAACAUGUGUGUCCUAAACAUCCCUUACCCAAGCGUGGAUGAAGAGGUGAAUGGGGAGGAAUGAAGGCUGACAGGUAGGAGCUGAGUAGAACACGCCUAGAAAGGGAAGUGGGGGAAGUGAGUGUGAGGGAGGCCGGGCUUUGGGUGUGUGAGGGUAGGGGAAAAAAAGUCUGCAACCAUCAGCUGCUAGAAGGUGAUAUGCCAUGCUCCCCACAUUGAAAAGGAGUUAUCUAGUUCAUUAAAAUGACUUUUCUCUGUGGAGUGCUGAAAAUACAAGAAACAUUUUUGCCCAGAUUUUGUGAGAUUUGCUGGCGCUGAUAAGAGCAAGUAUUAAAGCAAAACAAUGCACAUUCUGGAAAAUCUGUGUGUGUGCGCGUGUGUGUGCGCGUGUGUGUGUGUGUGUGUGCGCGCGCGCACACACACAGUCCAACUAGGGUGCAGACGGUGAGAGACCUGAACUUCCCUAUAAGACCUAGAUUGUGUCUACACCACACAGUUGUAGCAGCUUGAUCAGCUACAUUUUCCAUCUUAUGCGUAUGAUGAGUUUUGUGAUGGGUUUGGGGUGGUUUCUUGGGGUUCGGAGCGCUCUCAACAGACAAGUGCCUCCACUCACUUAUGGUGCAAUCAGAUGUCUGCACAUGUUUACACAAGAAAGGGUCAUUUUUAAUGGGAGCAAACUCCCUUGAAGUGACCCUUCCAUCUGUUGGGAGAAUCUCUGUAGCCCAUUCCCAAAAAGGACAAGACCUAUAGCAGGACUAAAAUGAUCCGGCUUGGGAUCGGACUGGAGCACAUUUUCCUGUGUGUUGUGUGAUCAUCAGAUGCACCAGACUACUCCACAUGCAGUUCAAACAGUGAUCAAUUUCCUAGUGUGCUCAUUCCCUUAUUACAUUGGUCUAAGCACAUCACAAAACUAUUAAUUCCAGGACUCUAAAGGAGAACUGAGCUACCGAACUACUGAAAUAGUACAAUCAUAGAGUCAUAGAAUAAUUGAGAUGGAAGGGACCAAUUAGGCCAUUAAGUCCAAUCCCUUACUCAAGGCAGGAAUCCAAACCAAAGCAGAUCCGACAGAUGGUUGUCCAAUUUUUUUUCUUUUAAAUGCCACCAGCAUUGGAGCACUCACCACCUCCGGAGGUAAUUGGUUCCAUUGUUGUACUACUCUAACAGUUAAGAGGUUUUUCCAGAUAGUCAGCCUAAAUCUUGCUUUCUCUAUCUUGAGCCAGUUAUUAUGUGUCCUGCACUCUGGGAUGAUUGAGAACAGAUCCUGUUCUCUUCUGACUACAAUGUAGAUGUAGUAUUUCAAUCUUAAGAACUACCAUUCCUAGAUUAUUUCUUUCUUUAAGCGUAAGGGAAGAACAGCUGGUGGAAGGAAUCAAACAGGGCUUUUCCAUAACCAGAUUCCACAAUGGUGAUGUAUUAGGAGAAAUAACAAAGAGUCCAGUGGCCUCUUCAUAACCCACUGGCUGAAAUCCAGUUGUGUAAUGGUUCACUGCAUAAGGCGGAUGACAUUAUCAGAUGCAGCUGUUGGGGGGGGGACAAGAAAAAAUUUGGAUUCACCCUACAUAAACAAAGGUUCCAAGAUCUAGUUGGGAUACCUUUUAUUCUGGGGAAGACCUGAGGCCCACGGGACAGGGGGACAACUUCUUGACAACUGCUGCUGGUCAAUUUUUGAAAAUUAAAGAAUUCCAUUGCAUCUCGUGGCUCCCAAAGGCUUCCCCAAGACAAAAAGGAAGCAAUGGAACCUUGAGGGGCAGAAUCAGACAUUUUUAAUUUCCUGAACCCAUCUGGUUUCACCAGCCUUAGGGGGGCUCACUAUAAGCCAGAGGAUUCCAGUCUCUGCAUUAUGUUGUAAGCUACGUCUAGUUCCACCCACUCCUAGCUGAACUGAGAAGUAUCUGCUUUCUUCCCUGACAGGUUGGUAAAUAUAAAGGACCCAUUUCGUGUUCUGCUUUUUGGCUUCUAUGUUUCCUGGUCGACAGAGAACAACACCAAAAAAAAUGUUACCAGGAUCCACUGCCCUUACGCCUAUUGUCACCAUCACCACUAAUAAAUACAACCAUGGACAAGAAUGAGAAGGUCCC
ensembl:lncRNA